GACGAACGCUGGCGGCGUGCUUAACACAUGCAAGUCGAACGGAAAGGCCCUGCUUUUGUGGGGUGCUCGAGUGGCGAACGGGUGAGUAACACGUGAGUAACCUGCCCUUGACUUUGGGAUAACUUCAGGAAACUGGGGCUAAUACCGGAUAGGAGCUCCUGCUGCAUGGUGGGGGUUGGAAAGUUUCGGCGGUUGGGGAUGGACUCGCGGCUUAUCAGCUUGUUGGUGGGGUAGUGGCUUACCAAGGCUUUGACGGGUAGCCGGCCUGAGAGGGUGACCGGCCACAUUGGGACUGAGGUACGGCCCAGAGUCCUACGGGAGGCAGCAGUGGGGAAUAUUGCACAAUGGGCGGAAGCCUAAUGCAGCAACGCCGCGUGCGGGAUGACGGCCUUCGGGUUGUAAACCGCUUUCGCCUGUGACGAAGCGUGAGUGACGGUAAUGGGUAAAGAAGCACCGGCUAACUACGUG
rnacentral:rRNA from 1 species